GCUGAGUUUGCCAGCCGUACAACAUGGCGUAUGAAUGCGUUGCGAGUUUGUUUGACAAGCAAAAGGAAAGCAGCAGCUUUGAUUCAAUGAGCAGCUUAAUAAGCAAUCUUCAAGCAGAUCCACUUUCAACCAGUGUCAUCCUGUUGAAGGUAAACAUUAUGAUAUUCACUUGCAUUUGAUUUGAAAACAACCCCGAAAAACUGGAAAACAAACUGACAACAAAAAGUGUAGCAUACUUUUUUGGGCUUCAUAUAUUCACUUGCAUUUGAUUUGAAAACAACCCCGAAAAACUCGAAAACAAAUUGGUAACAAAAAGUGUAGCAUACUUUUUUGGGCAGCAUAUAUUCACUUGCAUUUGAUUUGAAAACAACCCCGAAAAACUCGAAAACAAAUUGGUAACAAAAAGUGUAGCAUACUUUUUUGGGCAGCAUAUAUUCACUUGCAUUUGAUUUGAAAACAACCCCGAAAAACUCGAAAACAAAUUGGUAACAAAAAGUGUAGCAUACUUUUUUGGGCAGCAUAUAAUCACUUGCAUUUGAUUUGAAAACAGCCCCGAAAAACUGGAAAACAAACUGACAAAAAGUUUAGCAUACUUUUUUGGGCAGCAUACCGGCAUCUGGCACUUGGCACUGACUUCUGCCCGAAGGAGACAAGGAGUCACAGGAGUCAGAGGAGUCGCUGGAGACGUGCAGCUGCCAGAGGCGACUCUCAGUCGCACUGACUUUGCACAAUUAAUGGCGGCCAAGCAACCGGUCGAAAUAACCAGAAGCAGGGGAAGGGGCGAAGAGGAGGAGGAUGCCUAUUAACCGGCCACGCCCCCUGCCAAUGUCGGAAGGAGCCGCGCGCAAUUAUUGCGCCAUUGUGUGAGAACCUUUGCCAAGUGUCUGUGUCACCGCUAAAUUUAACAUAAUCCUGGAACGUCGCCGACGACCCGUCGCGGUACUCGUUUAAUGCUCUCAUUUCGCCAGCUGACGCGGCAUAGCUGCUGCUGCUGUCCCAUAGGUCCUUGAAUGUCUUUGUCCUGCGAUAAAUCGCCAGCCUGAAAGUAUGCAAAGGAAAUUAUUACUUGCACUCAACUCAUCGUUAUGAAGGUAUGGAAUUCAAUUGGCAUUUCGAUUUUAAAUGGACACCCUAAAAGUAUGCAAUCCAAUUUCAAUUAUGUGCUUAAAUCAACAUCCUAAAAGUAUGCAAUAUUAUUACAUUAACAUAUUUAAAUCAUCAUACUAAAAGUAUGCACUCUCAUCUCAAUUAUGUACUUAAAUCCUCAUCCUAAAAGUAUGCCAUAUAAAAGUUCAUGCUGUCAACUUCGCAUUACCACUAUUUUUACCAUUGUUUUUUUAUGUUCAAACUUGCGUAUUAAAAAACA